rnacentral:rRNA from 1 species
CUACGGGUGGCAGCAGUGGGGAAUAUUGGACAAUGGGCGCAAGCCUGAUCCAGCAAUACCGCGUGUGUGAAGAAGGCCCGAGGGUUGUAAAGCACUUUCAGUAGGGAGGAUUGAUUUUACGGAUAAUACCCGUGAAGUUUGACGUUACCUACAGAAGAAGCACCGGCUACCUCAGUGCCAGCAGCCGCGGUAAUACUGGGGUGCAAGCGUUAAUCGGAAUUACUGGGCGUAAAGCGCGCGUAGGUGGUUAGAUCAGUUGGGUGUGAAAGCCCCGGGCUCAACCUGGGAACUGCAUUCAAUACUGUCUAGCUAGAGUACGGUAGAGGGAAGUGGAAUUCCGCAUGUAGCGGUGAAAUGCGUAGAGAUGCGGAGGAACACCAGUGGCGAAGGCGACUUCCUGGACCGAUACUGACACUGAGGUGCGAAAGCGUGGGGAGCAAACAGGAUUAGAUACCCCCGUAGUC